rnacentral:rRNA from 2 species
GGGACACGUGGUAUCCUGUCUGAAUAUGGGGGGACCAUCCUCCAAGGCUAAAUACUCCUGACUGACCGAUAGUGAACCAGUACCGUGAGGGAAAGGCGAAAAGAACCCCGGCGAGGGGAGUGAAAAAGAACCUGAAACCGUGUACGUACAAGCAGUGGGAGCACAGGUUUACCUGUGUGACUGCGUACCUUUUGUAUAAUGGGUCAGCGACUUAUAUUCUGUAGCAAGGUUAACCGAAUAGGGGAGCCGGAGGGAAACCGAGUCUUAACCGGGCGUUAAGUUGCAGGGUAUAGACCCGAAACCCGGUGAUCUAGCCAUGGGCAGGUUGAAGGUUGGGUAACACUAACUGGAGGACCGAACCGACUAAUGUUGAAAAAUUAGCGGAUGACCUGUGGCUGGGGGUGAAAGGCCAAUCAAACCGGGAGAUAGCUGGUUCUCCCCGAAAGCUAUUUAGGUAGCGCCUCGUGAAUUCAUCUCCGGGGGUAGAGCACUGUUUCGGCUAGGGGGCCAUCCCGGCUUACCAACCCGAUGCAAACUGCGAAUACCGGAGAAUGUUAUCACGGGAGACACACGGCGGGUGCUAACGUCCGUCGUGAAGAGGGAAACAACCCAGACCGCCAGCUAAGGUCCCAAAGUCAUGGUUAAGUGGGAAACGAUGUGGGAAGGCCCAGACAGCCAGGAUGUUGGCUUAGAAGCAGCCAUCAUUUAAAGAAAGCGUAAUAGCUCACUGGUCGAGUCGGCCUGCGCGGAAGAUGUAACGGGGCUAAACCAU